rnacentral:rRNA from 1 species
GACGAACGCUGGCGGCGUGCCUAAUACAUGCAAGUUGAGCGAUGAAGAUUGGUGCUUGCACCAAUUUGAAGAGCAGCGAACGGGUGGGUAACGCGUGGGGAAUCUGCCUUUGAGCGGGGGACAACAUUUGGAAACGAAUGCUAAUACCGCAUAACAACUUUAAACAUAAGUUUUAAGUUUGAAAGAUGCAAUUGCAUCACUCAAAGAUGAUCCCGCGUUGUAUUAGCUAGUUGGUGAGGUAAAGGCUCACCAAGGCGAUGAUACAUAGCCGACCUGAGAGGGUGAUCGGCCACAUUGGGACUGAGACACGGCCCAAACUCCUACGGGAGGCAGCAGUAGGGAAUCUUCGGCAAUGGACGAAAGUCUGACCGAGCAACGCCGCGUGAGUGAAGAAGGUUUUCGGAUCGUAAAACUCUGUUGGUAGAGAAGAACGUUGGUGAGAGUGGAAAGCUCAUCAAGUGACGGUAACUACCCAGAAAGGGACGGCUAACUACGUG